AUGGGAAGAGAUAAACCCCAACAGGCCUUGCAGUUUCUCAUAUCAAAGCAAAUCAAAGUUAAGCUAUUAGGGUUCCCUCACCGGUGAGGGACCAAGCUAGGGUGAGUAGAGUGAUAGAUAGGUGUUCCCUUCCCGGUGAGGUCGAACAGAGCGAUAGAUAGGAGUAGCUAGAUCUAGGGUUCAAAAUCCUCUCCCUAAAAAAGCAAAUAAAUGUUCCAAUCUCAUAAAGCAUUUGGGGGUUAACAGCUAAGGUUUUGGGAUGCCCCUCUCUCUAUCUGGUGCAAUAUCGAUGAAGGAGGUUCAAAUAAUUAAAGGGUAAAGGACGGUGACAGAAGAGAGUGAGCACACAUGGUAUUUUCUUGCAUGCUGGGUUCAUGCUUGAAGCUUUGUGUGCUUACUCUCUAUCUGUCACCCACCUCUCUCUCUCUCUGAAUCAUGUUUGUUUUGUAUUUUUGCCUGUUUACAAUUUUUCAUGAAAUUUCUGCAUAUAAAUUUACACCCAGGAAAUUACCACUGAUCAGUCCUAAUCGAUGGGGAAUCUAGACUGGAUCAUUGCAUAUUGUUGUCGUGGUCACAGAGAUUUAUUUGAUUUUGACAUGUUGGUCUCAAACUAUGUACGGAUUAGUGAUUAGGGUUUCUAGGGUUUUUAUUUUUAUUUUUAGUUUUUUGCUGUCGAAAAUCCUUUAAUUUUAGGCAUUAAAUUUAUCAUUAAUUUGCUGACUUCAAGGCCGUUUUCCAAAAAGUAUUUAUCUAUACUUGGUAGCCAGGUGAAUAUUGCUCUCUCGCCCUAAUUGGUGCAAUUUAUACCGUAGGCUGAAAGUUGAAAAUUUCUCUGUGGACACAAAAGCUCUCUAGUCUGAUCUGACUUCUGUUCAUGAAUUAUGAACUGUAUUCAUCGUUUCAGGCUUCGCUCUACAUGGGUCCUAACUAAUUUUGGCAGUCGAGACGCGUAAUCAACAUACCAUAUAAACCCUCAGAUCUAUGUGCCUCUUUGGGAGAAGAAUUUCCAUACUGUAUAUGUGCCAGCAGUCUUUCUUUGGCGUAAGGUCUACCUUCGUGUUGGUGAUCUUGAAGAACCCUUCAGCAUGUAG
rnacentral:sRNA from 1 species